rnacentral:rRNA from 1 species
UUGCGAACGGGUGAGUAACACGUGAGUAACCUGCCCUUGACUUUGGGAUAACUUCAGGAAACUGGGGCUAGUACCGGAUAGGAGCUCCUGCUGCAUGGUGGGGGUUGGAAAGUUUCGGCGGUUGGGGAUGGACUCGCGGCUUAUCAGCUUGUUGGUGGGGUAGUGGCUUACCAAGGCUUUGACGGGUAGCCGGCCUGAGAGGGUGACCGGCCACAUUGGGACUGAGAUACGGCCCAG